AAGACCUUGCGCUUUUGGAGCGGCCGAUGUCUGAUUAGCUAGUUGGUGGGGUAAUGGCCUACCAAAGCUUCGAUCAGUAGCUGGUCUGAGAGGACGGCCAGCCACACUGGGACUGAGACACGGCCCAGACUCCUACGGGAGGCAGCAGUGGGGAAUUUUGGACAAUGGGCGCAAGCCUGAUCCAGCCAUGCCGCGUGAGUGAAGAAGGCCUUCGGGUUGUAAAGCUCUUUCAGCCGGGAAGAAAAGGCUGCGACUAAUAAUCGCAGUUCAUGACGGUACCGGAAGAAGAAGCACCGGCUAACUACGUGCCAGCAGCCGCGGUAAUACGUAGGGUGCGAGCGUUAAUCAGAAUUACUGGGCGUAAAGGGUGCGCAGGCGGUUUUGUAAGUCAGAUGUGAAAUCCCCGGGCUUAACCUGGGAACU
rnacentral:rRNA from 1 species